CCCCCAGGAACAAACUCAGUAUUUCUCCACCUCAUCUGCAUCUCUUGUGUCCCCAGCUCUGUGAAUGUCCCACUGCCUGUCCAGUCACCCAUGCUGGAAACCUAGGAGUCCUCCCAGACAACUCCUUCACCCCAACCCAGUCAGUCCUCACUUCUCUCGCUUCCCUCUCAUCAUCUCCCCUCUCAGUGGCCUGACUUCAUCAGGUGAAAGUCAGGCCUUCAUCUUUUCUCACCAGGACUUCUCCUCCUCACUGCCUCCAGUCUCACCCUCUUCAAACCUGCCCUCCACACAGUUUCCUGAUACCCCUAGAAGUCAUGCACUGUCGAUACCUCUUCAGGGGCUACUCCUGCUGCAGGAUACAGCAGGGCCAACUCAGCAGCUCAGAUCUGAGCUUUGACUUCUGCUUUAGUGAUCUGCUGCCAAAACAUAUUGUAAACUGUAGUGGCUUAAUACAACAAUAACACUUCUUAUUUCUCAGUGUCUGUGGAUCAGAAAUUAAGGAAUGGCUUAACUGGAUGGUUCUGGCCCAAGGUUUCUCACGAGGUUUUAGUCCAUAUGUCAGCAAAGGCUGCAGUCGAAUGAAGGCUUGACUAGGGCUGGAGAAUUUGCUUCCCAGGUGGCUCACUGACAUGGCUGGAAGUUAGUCCUGGCUGUUGGCAUAAACCUGUUUCAUGCCAUGUAAAUCUCUCCAUAGGGUUGUUUGAGUGUCCUUAUGACAUGGUGGCCAGCUUCCUUCAGAGCGAGUGAUCCAAGAGAAAGCAAGAUGGAAUCCAUGUAUUUUAUGACCUAGUCUCAGAAGUCAUACAUGACCACCUCUACAGUAUUCUAUUGGUCACACUGGCCCCCCCACCCCCCCUCCCCGAUGCAAUGUGAGAGGGAACUACACAGAGCAGGAAUACCAGAGGAAUGUGACCUUUAACCAGUCAGUCUGGAAUUUCCUGGUCAACACUAAUAAGGAAAUCUGCCUGAUAGACCUCCACUGUCCCCCAAGGAAACCACAAAGGGAAGAAGGAGAAGAUGGCUGAGACCUGUGGUCAGGACCAGUUUAAACUGGUUGAAGGCAACAUGGUGGUCCAACUUAAUCUGACAUAGACCCUGCAGCUCAUUAUAUGUUCAUCGUAAUAUAUUACCAUACUAAAUAACACACCUACUGUGGCCGUGACAGGAAACACCAGACCAAAUAAGGAAAGAAAAGAGGUGGUACCCUAUUUCCCAGACAGGCCUGCCCCUUUCUCUGAAUAACUAUGAAUAUUCCUCCCCUUCACUGCCUUGACCCCUUAUAACAAUAGCUUAAUUGCCCCAAGAGCUGAGAAAUUGAUUUGUGAACUUAGCUUCUGCUUCUCCAUUCUUUGGCCAUUGAAUAAAGCUUGUGCUGUUGAACGCUCAGCUUUGGUUUUGUUUCAAAUCCAUGACACGGAACAGGAAAGAACCCUCUUGGGGAAGGGAUGGAUUGUGGGUAUGAGGCCCACCCGUGGACCCCUUCUCUGAGCUCCGAGUAUGGGUUGGAGUCCCAACAGAGUGGGGUGAAAUUGGUAACACUAAUAACUUCCUUGUCCUGCCUCCUUUUGCCUAUAAAAAUCUUCUAUCUUGUACAUCUCCUCUGAGCUCCUUUCUAUUUGCUAGAUGGGAUGCUGCCUGAUUCAUGAAUUGUUGAAUAAAGCUAAUUAGAUCUUUAAAUUUACUCAGUUGAAUUUUGUUUUUUAACACCCCCAUAUAUUUCCUAGUCACUUUCCCACAAUUUACCCCCCUUAGGAGCUCAAAUCCCUUUUCCUUUGUCUUGUCACUUCUCCACCAAUUUAUCACUCUUUUGUCAAAAUGGUAUAUAAGCUCUCAG
ensembl:lncRNA